GCAUUGGCUGUUCAGUGGUAGAAUUCUCAUCUUCCAUGUAGGAGACGCAGGUUUUACUCCUGGCCAAUGCA
rnacentral:tRNA from 1 species